rnacentral:rRNA from 1 species
CGGAGCAUGCGGAUUAAUUCGAUGCAACGCGAAGAACCUUACCAAGGCCUGACAUAUACGAGAACGCUGCAGAAAUGUAGAAACUCUUUGGACACUCGUAAACAGGUGGUGCAUGGUUGUCGUCAGCUCGUGUCGUGAGAUGUUGGGUUAAGUCCCGCAACGAGCGCAACCCUCGUUCUAUGUUGCCAGCACGUAAUGGUGGGGACUCAUGGGAUACUGCCGGGGUCAACUCGGAGGAAGGUGGGGAUGACGUCAAAUCAUCAUGCCCCUUAUGUCUUGGGCUUCACGCAUGCUACAAUGGCCGGUACAAAGGGCUGCAAUACCGUAAGGUGGAGCGAAUCCCAAAAAGCCGGUCCCAGUUCGGAUUGAGGUCUGCAACUCGACCUCAUGAAGUCGGAGUCGCUAGUAAUCGCAGAUCAGCUAUACUGCGGUGAAUACGUUCCCGGGGAUU